CCUACCAUCAACAGGGGGAUAACACUGAGAAAUUGGUACUAAUACCCCAUAAUAUCUCAUGCGGCAUCGCAUGGGGUUGAAAACUCCGGUGGUUGAUGAUGGGCAUGCGUUGUAUUAGCUGGUUGGUGAGGUAACGGCUCACCAAGGCGACGAUACAUAGGGGGACUGAGAGGUUAACCCCCCACAUUGGUACUGAGACACGGACCAAACUCCUACGGGAGGCAGCAGUGAGGAAUAUUGGUCAAUGGACGCAAGUCUGAACCAGCCAUGCCGCGUGCAGGAUGACGGCUCUAUGAGUUGUAAACUGCUUUUGUACGAGGGUAAACCCCGAUACGUGUAUCGGGUUGAAAGUAUCGUACGAAUAAGGAUCGGCUAACUCCGUGCCAGCAGCCGCGGUAAUACGGAGGAUCCGAGCGUUAUCCGGAUUUAUUGGGUUUAAAGGGUGCGUAGGCGGUUUGAUAAGUUAGAGGUGAAAUGUCGGGGCUCAACCCCGAAACUGCCUCUAAUACUGUUGGACUAGAGAAUAGUUGCGGUAGGCGGAAUGUAUGGUGUAGCGGUGAAAUGCUUAGAGAUCAUACAGAACACCGAUUGCGAAGGCAGCUUACCAAACUAUAUCUGACGUUGAGGCACGAAAGCGUGGGUAGCAAACAGGAUUAGAUACCCUGGUAGUCCACGCAGUAAACGAUGAUAACUCGUUGU
rnacentral:rRNA from 1 species